UACAGAGGUGGCAAGCGUUGUUCGGAAUUACUGGGCGUAAAGGGCGCGUAGGCGGCCGAUCAAGUCAGAUGUGAAAGUCCUGGGCUUAACCUGGGGACUGCAUUUGAUACUGAUUGGCUUGAAUUCGGGAGAGGAUAGCGGAAUUCCCAGUGUAGAGGUGAAAUUCGUAGAUAUUGGGAAGAACACCGGUGGCGAAGGCGGCUAUCUGGACCGACAUUGACGCUGAGGCGCGAAAGCGUGGGGAGCAAACAGG
rnacentral:rRNA from 1 species